rnacentral:misc_RNA from 1 species
UGAUGGCUGAUGCGAGGUAUCUACUCAUUUCCUUAUGUUCUUUCCUUAAAACUUGUAUAUGCUUAAUUUGUUUCUAGUUUUUGUCAUUUUUCUUCUUUGGAAGAAGGUUGGGUCGGGGGCUCUAGGUGAUGGCUCUGUUGCUGAAUUAUUUUAUUGAAAGGAAGAAACCUUAUUGCAUUUUGUGCUGUUUAAUUAAAUAAUUAAUUAUCUAAUAAGUGUCACAGUAAUCUAGUGUUGGAACUUUAAUAUUUGAAUUUUUUUAUUCAGCUCUUGUUCUCUUGUUGGUUAAUAUUAGUUUAGGGGUGUGAUGUAGAUUUCACUUAGAGGAGGAAGUUAGGGAAAUGUUCUAAUAUAAUUUAUGAAAAAUUCUCAUGAUAUGCCUUUUGCUUUAUCAUUAAGUUUGUGUAAAGGGACUUUAUUUUUCUGUUCUUGACAUGAGAAUUGCUCACUAGAAUUUACUUGUUAGCCACUUCUAGACUUAGUGUGGCUAUUUUGAUAGAGAAAAUACUGGAUGUGGUAGGUCAGUAGUUUAUAUCUUUGAACAUGACAUUCUUGCUCAUUAGCUUGUGAUUAGUAUGGUUUAGAAUCAAAGGAGAUAAAAUCAAUAUUUUCUUAGUGCUGUUUUGUGCAA